rnacentral:rRNA from 1 species
AGAGUUUGAUCAUGGCUCAGAUUGAACGCUGGCGGUAUGCUUAACACAUGCAAGUCGAACGGUAACAGUCCCUCACCUAGAAAUUUCUUAAAAAGAGAUUUGUAGGUGAGGGAGCUGACGAGUGGCGGACGGGUGCGUAAUGUAUAGGAAUCUGCCUAGUAGUGGGGGACAACUCGGAGAAAUUCGAGCUAAUACCGCAUAAGCCCUCCGGGGGAAAACGGGGGAUCUUCGGACCUCGUGCUAUUAGAUGAGCCUAUAUUAGAUUAGCUUGUUGGUGAGGUAAUGGCUCACCAAGGCGACGAUCUAUAGCUGGUCUGAGAGGAUGAUCAGCCACACUGGGACUGAGACACGGCCCAGACUCCUACGGGAGGCAGCAGUGGGGAAUAUUGGACAAUGGGCGAAAGCCUGAUCCAGCAAUACCGCGUGUGUGAAGAAGGCCUGAGGGUUGUAAAGCACUUUCAAUUGGGAGGAAUACCUAAUAGUUAAUAGCUAUUAGAUUGACA